UGGGGAAUAUUGCACAAUGGGCGCAAGCCUGAUGCAGCAACGCCGCGUGAACGAUGAAGGUCUUCGGAUCGUAAAGUUCUGUUGCAGGGGAAGAUAAUGACGGUACCCUGUGAGGAAGCCCCGGCUAACUACGUGCCAGCAGCCGCGGUAAUACGUAGGGGGCUAGCGUUAUCCGGAUUUACUGGGCGUAAAGGGUGCGUAGGUGGUCUUUCAAGUCGGUGGUUAAAGGCUACGGCUCAACCGUAGUUAGCCUCCGAAACUGGAAGACUUGAGUGCAGGAGAGGGAAGUGGAAUUCCCAGUGUAGCGGUGAAAUGCGUAGAUAUUGGGAGGAACACCAGUAGCGAAGGCAGCUUUCUGGACUGCAACUGACACUGAGGAACGAAAGCGUGGGUAGCAAACAGG
rnacentral:rRNA from 1 species